rnacentral:rRNA from 1 species
GCCCACGGCUCWACCGUGGAGGGUCAUUGGAAACUGGGGAACUUGAGUASAGAAGAGGARAGUGGAAUUCCMCGUGKAGCGGUGAAAUGSGUAGARAUGUGGAGGAACACCAGUGGCGAAGGCGACUCUCUGGUCUGUAACUGACGCUGAGGUACGAAAGCGUGGGGAGCGAACAGGAUUARAUACCCUGGUAGUCCACGCCGUAAACGAUGAGUGCUAAGUGUUAGAGGGUUUCCGCCCUUUAGUGCUGCAGCAAACGCAUUAAGCACUCCGCCUGGG